UGAGGAAUAUUGGUCAAUGGACGAGAGUCUGAACCAGCCAAGUAGCGUGAAGGAUGACUGCUCUAAGGGUAGUAAACUUCUUUUAUACGGGAAUAAAGUGAGGCACGUGUGCCUUUUUGUAUGUACCGUAUGAAUAAGGAUCGGCUAACUCCGUGCCAGCAGCCGCGGUAAUACGGAGGAUCCGAGCGUCAUCCGGAUUUAUUGGGUUUAAAGGGAGCGUAGGCGGACGCUUAAGUCAGUUGUGAAAGUUUGCGGCUCAACCGUAAAAUUGCAGUUGAUACUGGGUGUAUUGAGUACAGUAGAGGCAAGCGGAAUUCGUGGUGUAGCGGUGAAAUACUUAGAUAUCACGAAGAACACCGAUUGCGAAGGCAGCCUGCUGGACUGUAACUGACGCUGAUGCUCGAAAGAGUGGGUAUCAAACAGG
rnacentral:rRNA from 1 species